rnacentral:rRNA from 1 species
AGCCAUGCAUGUCUCAGUGCAAGCCGAAGUAAGGUGAAACCGCGAAUGGCUCAUUAAAUCAGUUAUGGUUCAUUGGGCAUACACAGUUACAUGGAUAACUGUGGUAAUUCUAGAGCUAAUACAUGCAAUCUGAGUCUCGACCAGCAAUGGAAGGGACGCUUUUAUUAGAUCAAAACCAAUCGGCCGCGGGCCGUGGCUUCGGCUCACGCCCCGGCCGUUUGCUUUGGUGACUCUGGAUAACUUUAUGCCGAUCGCACGGUCUUCGCGCCGGCGACGAUCCCUUCAAAUGUCUGCCUUAUCAACUGACGAUGGUAGGCUCCUUGCCUACCAUGGUUGUAACGGGUGACGGGGAAUCAGGGUUCGAUUCCGGAGAGGGAGCCUGAGAAACGGCUACCACAUCCAAGGAAGGCAGCAGGCGCGCAAAUUACCCACUUCCGGCACGGGGAGGUAGUGACGAAAAAUAACGAUACGGGACUCAUCCGAGGCCCCGUAAUCGGAAUGAGAACACUUUAAAUACUUUAACAAGUAUCCAUUGGAGGGCAAGUCUGGUGCCAGCAGCCGCGGUAAUUCCAGCUCCAAUAGCGUAUAUUAAAGUUGCUGCGGUUAAAAAGCUCGUAGUUGAACUUGUGUCCCGCGCUGCCGGUUCACCGCUCGUCGGUGUUUAACUGGCACGCAUGCGGGACGUCCUACUGGUGGUGGCGAGCCGGGGCGGGGGCGCUGCGUCGCAGAGGCCGGACCCAUCGGUGCGCGCGAGGUUCGAGCGAUCGUCCUCGCGCGUAUUCGACCGGUUUUAACGGACGCGCGCGUUUCCCCGCUUCGGCGGACCCCGAUCAUCCCGCCGCGGUGCUCUUGACUGAGUGUCGCGCGGGCCGGUACGUUUACUUUGAACAAAUUAGAGUGCUUAAAGCAGGCCCUUGUACGCCUGAAUACUGUGUGCAUGGAAUAAUAGAAUAGGACCUCGGUUCUAUUUUGUUGGUUUUAAGAGCCCGAGGUAAUGAUUAAUGGGGAUUGCCGGGGGCAUCCGUAUUGCGACGUUAGAGGU